rnacentral:tRNA from 1 species
GGGGCCGUAGCUCAGCUGGGAGAGCACCAGAAUCGCACUCUGGGGGUCGGGAGUUCGAAUCUCCUCGGCUCCA